rnacentral:rRNA from 1 species
AUUGAACGCUGGCGGCAGGCCUAACACAUGCAAGUCGAACGAGUGGCGGACGGGUGGGUAAUGUCUGGGAAACUGCCUGGUGGAGGGGGAUAACUACUGGAAACGGUAGCUAAUACCGCAUACCAUCAGAUGUGCCCAGAUGGGAUUAGCUUGUUGGUGGGGUAACGGCUCACCAAGGCGACGAUCCCUAGCUAGUUUGAGAGGGUGACCGGCCACACGGGAACUGUGAAACGGUCCAGACGCCUCCGGGAGGCAGCAGUGAGGAAUAUUGCACAAUGGGCGCAAGCCUAAUGCAGCCAUGCCGCGUGUAUGAGGAAGGCCUUCGGGUUUGAAAGUACUUUCAGCGGGGAGGCGUUACCCGCAGAAGAAGCACCGGCUAACUCCGUGCCAGCCGCCGCGGUAAUUC